rnacentral:lncRNA from 1 species
GCGCUCGGGACCCAGGCAGCUGUGAAUGAACGCCGAUAGCUCCGUGGACCAGGCCGUCUGCGUGGCACUCACGCCCCACUGGGAGCCAGGAUUACUUCGGCACGCUGACAGAGACCAGUUCUGGCUGGUUUCAUCUAAAGAAGAAUUUUUGGAAGAAAACUGGGCAAUUGGAAAAGAAAGCAUGGGUGUGUCUGCAGACCCCACAGUGGGUGAACUUGAGCCUCUCCCCAGUCUCCCCAGUUCUCCAGUUUUUCCCAACUUGGCAUUUGGACUGUCCCAUAAGGUAAGUCAUUGGUUGGAAGAAAGUGUGAUUGGCCCAGAAUUGCUCUGAGGUCUACAGCAAGUCAGGGUGAGUCAACCAACGGCGCAAUGGCAUGGCUGCUCCCAGAGCAGGGAGAGUCACUGCAGGUGGGGUGUCAUGGUCUCCGUCCAUGGCCCUUGUGAUGCACAGUGUGGCCAGGGCUCAGCCUGUUGGAGAAGAGACAGAGUGCUCACUGGAGCCCUAGAGAUCUUACUGUGUCUUCUUCCUCAUUCGACAGGAGGGACCCAGAAGUGCAUGUGCAGAGAGCAAAUAGCUUGGGCCCCCAAAAGUUCCCCUGGAUCUCUUUAUGUUGCCUGGUGACAAGCCAGCUGGGGCCAGCAGAAGGAGCUGUGUACCCCCAACUCCGUCCCCCUGUGGGCUGCCAGGUGCUGGGCAGCUGGCCUUCCCAGGGGCCCAAGCUCAGAGAUUUGCAUCUGAGCCCUCCAUCAGGAGAGGCCUUGGGAGAUGCUGCAAAGAAAUGGGGGCAGGGUCCAGGAGUCACGGUGGGGGACACCACAGCGGGGAGAGACUGCCAUUCUCACCUAGCCCUGCCAGUCGCCUACUGUUUGAUCUUGGGCCAAUCACUUGAACUCUUUGCGUCUUUGUGUCUUCCU